UGCAGAGCCACGUCCCGGUCGUCGUCUUCGUCCGCAGCCAGCAGGCACAAUACCACGUUGUCGGGGUCUCUGCGGGCAGCGGGACAGCGGUGGAGAAUGCUGAAAGAGGAAUUUGGACCCAGGACUUUUAUUGGACUCUGGACUCCAAAACCUGCACAGAAAUAGUUGCUAUUUACAGAUAGCAAAGGGGGGUCCACGAAAUAGCUCAGAAGGUAAAGGUGUUUGCUGCCAAGCCUGAUGACCCAGAAUUCACAUCGUUAGGAAAGAUGACUGAUCACGUGGGACUCUGAAAAUAUGAAGCUUUACCUGAGGAGGUGUGCUGGGUAACCCUGCAUGGGGUCUUUGUGGAGAGUAAUCAGAGGAUUUCUCCAUACUCAAAAUACUAAUAGAGGGUUCAUGCCUCACUUAAUAAAUGAGGAAAGUUUUAUACAGGACCUGCCUCUCUAACGCCAACCACCAGGUGAGCAUGAAUGCUGCA